GUCUACGGCCAUACCACCCUGAACACACCCAAUCUAGUCUGAUCUCAAAAACUAAGCAGGGUUGGGCCUGGUUAGUACUUGGAUGGAGGAGUCCUUCAGUAGGGUAAAUA
rnacentral:rRNA from 1 species